AGGUGCAGAGCUUAGCUGAUUGGUGAACAGUGAUUGGUUUCCGCUUUGUUCACAGUGGCUAAGUUCUGCACCU
ensembl:miRNA microRNA 27b